AUUGAACGCUAGCGGCAUGCCUAACACAUGCAAGUCGAACGAGUGGCGGACGGGUGAGUAAUGUAUGGGAACCUGCCCAGUAGCGGGGGAUAACUACUGGAAAGAGUGGCUAAUACCGCAUACCAUCGGAGCGGCCCUUAUGGGAUUAGCUAGUUGGUGGGGGAAAGGCUCACCAAGGCAACGAUCCGUAGCUGGUUUGAGAGGACGACCAGCCACACGGGAACUGAGACACGGCCCAGACUCUGACGGGAGGCAGCAGUGGGGAAUUUUGGACAAUGGGGGAAACCCUGAUGAAGCCAUCCCGCGUGUAUGAGAAGGCCUUCGGGUUGUAAAGUACUUUUGGCGGGGAGGCGGUACCUGCAGAAUAAGCACCGGCUAACUACGUGCCAGCAGCCGCGGUAAUAC
rnacentral:rRNA from 1 species